AUUGAACGCUGGCGGCAGGCCUAACACAUGCAAGUCGAGCGGGGCGGCGGACGGGGGAGUAAUGCCUAGGUAUCUGCCAGGUAGUGGGGGAUAAGGUCCGGAAACGGGCGCUAAUACCGCAUACUCUUAGCUGAGCCUAGGUCGGAUUAGCUAGUUGGUGGGGUAAGGGCCUACCAAGGCGACGAUCCGUAACUGGUCUGAGAGGAUGAGCAGGCACACUGGAACUGAGACACGGUCCAGACUCCUACGGGAGGCAGCAGUGGGGAAUAUUGGACAAUGGGCGAAAGCCUGAUCCAGCCAUGCCGCGUGUAUGAAGAAGGUCUUCGGAUUGUAAAGCACUUUAAGUUGGGAGGCGUUACCAGCAGAAUAAGCACCGGCUAACUCCGUGCCAGCAGCCGCGGUAAUUC
rnacentral:rRNA from 1 species